AGCACCCAGGGUGGGGGCCCCGCGCAAAGGGAACAGCAGUCGGGCUUCCCGACGCCUCCCCGUGACCCCUCCGCGCCGAGGAGGAGGGUGCGCCUUUCUGAAGGGCACUUGGUGUCACUCUCUCCUCGGAAGACCCUACCAGCAAAACCCCGGUGCAGCGGAGACAAGACACAGAGAGGGAGCUCCCGCGGCGGCACCCCCGCAAGGACAGCGGCGUCCCGCGUGUGACGGGCCCGGGCUCAGCACUUACCUCCGGACGGCACUCCGACACCAGCGCCGGGCCAGCCUCCCCGCCACGCCCGCCAUAGCGAUCCCGGGGGCGUGGAGGAAUUCGAUAUUGCAAGAUGAUGUUUGGGAGGCUGAGCUGAGUCAAAGACCCUGACCCCGCUCCCAGGCUGAGUUAGGUGGCCCUCGGAGGUUGAAAGGGGGUCCAGGAGCUGAUGCAUGCCUCUACCAGGCAGAUGGUGACGUAGAUACUGGGCCCUUCCUGAAAUCCAUAACAGGCCAGUGUACCAGGUAAAUGGUGACGCAGAUACCGGUCCCGCCCUGGAAUUCCUAACAGGUCAGCUACCAGACAGAUGACGACACCUGGAAACCGUGACGACCCCCCGAGGCGGGAACUCCCACAGCUCAUGCUCCCCCGCCCUCACUGAACAGCUGUAUAAAAAAAGCGCCCUCCUCCCUGUUGGUGUGGAUCCACGUGCCCUGUCUUUGGGGUUCGUGGGUCGCCCGGGACGCAGAA